UCAUAUAUUAUUGGUUUUUUAGCCUUGGCUUUGUAAAAUAUAAAGAUCUAUCUCACAGAAGUCACUCGCCAGGAUAGACAUGAGCUAGAUACCAACAAGCAUCUGGGGGGACAGAUUAAGUAAAUCCCAAUUCUCUGGAAGCAAUUAAACGCAUGGCAAUUGAUUUUCACAUCUCUACUCAAUCUGGGGAGGAAUCGAAAUCGGACAGAAAGCAUGUCACAAUGGUAGGAUGACCAAACAACCAUGGAAUUGGUGAAAUUAAACGUUGAUGGUUGCAGCAAAGGCAACCCGGGAUUUGCAGGGGCAGGAGGAGUGCUUGGAGAUAGUUUGGGAUCAUGGAUCAAGGGAUUUACCAUUAACACGGUGUUCGCUUUUCAGCUAAAGCAGAGCUGUGGGCAUCGAUCACAGGAUUGGAAUUUGCUCGAUCAUUGGGUAGACAAUUUUCUAUUUGGAAAAAGUGGGAAGAAAACCACUUGGGGUAACCCCAAUGGAUUCGUGUGAAGACUUGAAGAACAAAAUGAGGGAUCUUGUGAAGAGAUCUCUAUCUGCCAGGAGCUACGGAUCACGGGUAGUGAGCUUCAAUAUCUGCAGGGGGCGGGUAGAUAAAGUGAGAGCGUGGUGCCUAAUUUUCAAUAUCUGCGUGCUGCCCUCAUGAUGACAGUAAUCUUAUGUCCAUUGGUUCAUUGAAAUAGACAUGAUGUUCUCUGUUACCGUGAUCUUUUGUAGCUUUCUUCAAUGCCUUUUCGGUGCUGUAUGGUCUGUUGAUGUAAGCCCUCAACUAGCAAAACUUGCAUAGCACUCUCUGCCUAGCUGGGGCACAAGAAUUGAAAUCAAGCCAUAGCCAUUCCCAUUUCGGUUGAA